AGGGUAAAGCUCAGUGGUAGAGCGCGUGCUUGGCAUGCACGAAGUCCUGGGUUCAAUUCUCAGUGCCUCUA
rnacentral:tRNA from 1 species